rnacentral:rRNA from 1 species
UUAGAGGAAGUAAAAGUNGUAACAAGGUUUCCGUAGGUGAACCUGCGGAAGGAUCAUUACCGAGUGCGGGCCCUCGCGGCCCAACCUCCCACCCUUGUCUCUAUACACCUGUUGCUUUGGCGGGCCCACCGGGGCCACCUGGUCGCCGGGGGACGCACGUCUCCGGGCCCGCGCCCGCCGAAGCGCUCUGUGAACCCUGAUGAAGAUGGGCUGUCUGAGUACUGUGAAAAUUGUCAAAACUUUCAACAAUGGAUCUCUUGGUUCCGGCAUCGAUGAAGAACGCAGCGAAAUGCGAUAAGUAAUGUGAAUUGCAGAAUUCCGUGAAUCAUCGAAUCUUUGAACGCACAUUGCGCCCCCUGGCAUUCCGGGGGGCAUGCCUGUCCGAGCGUCAUUUCUGCCCUCAAGCACGGCUUGUGUGUUGGGUGUGGUCCCCCCGGGGACCUGCCCGAAAGGCAGCGGCGACGUCCGUCUGGUCCUCGAGCGUAUGGGGCUCUGUCACUCGCUCAGGGAAGGACCUGCGGGGGUUGGUCACCACCAUGUUUUACCACGGUUGACCUCGGAUCAGGUAGGAGUUACCCGCUGAACUUAAGCAUAUCAUA